rnacentral:tRNA from 1 species
GCCCUGAUGGUGAAAUUGGUAGACACAAGAGACUUAAAAUCUCUCGCUCGAAAGGGCGUGCCGGUUCGAUUCCGGCUCGGGGCACCA